UUGGAGGACUACUUCGCAGUUUGUGCUCUUUAAGGGUUGCCAAAUCCACUUAUUAAAAGUGAUGCUUUAUAAGCGUCUUUGGGUUUGUUGUUUGGGCACAGCUCAUAAAGCGAUCCAGUUUAUGAUAAUAAUAUUUAAGUAAAUAAAGUAUGCACAUGCAGGUCACGAUAUUUUGGCAUGUAGCUUAUUUCCAUGAUAAAGCAUUCAUGUUUAUUAUGGGCUUGUUCCUAUUUGCUGUUUUUUCUAGCAAGAUCUGGCAACACUAAUGAGUCUUGAAGACGUACCUCGUUCACAGCGAUUUCUUGCACUGCGCAUACAGAAGAGAGACACGACUCUGAUAAGCAUUUAAAAACAAGUUGUUCAGUUUGCUACCAUACACACUGCGUAGAAUUUCUGUAAAUGCAGUUGUCACUACCUGAAUUUUCCACGAGUCAGUUAUUUUGUAAAAUGCACUUGUCACUCCCAUAAAAUAACUGAACUGUGUGUGUACGGAACAGGAUUAAGCAUCAAAAGAUGAACUGACAACCAGAUUUAGCCACAGCAGUGUACGUUUUUAUUUUUAAAUUUCAGGUUGUAUCGACAAACAAGCGGCAGCUAUAUCAAUGAGUCAUGUUAAAUUUAGAGCAUUUGCAUGUUAACCGUUUCCUCUUUCAUGUCAGCAUCAAUUUAGAGACUAACAAUAUGAACUUCCUAUCAUAUCUGAAAUGAAACUCUUGCUUCUGCAUUCUUAUCUAAUCCACAGCAACAGUGCUGAUGAUUCAGUUCUGCUGUGCUGGAACUGAUGUCAGAUGAAGCAGUGAAUAGAAGAAUGAACGCUCUGAUGAUUUUACAUGUCGGGCAUGAACCCAACUUCAACCUCCAACCUUCCUUCACCGGAUGGAUUUUUCAUAACCUAACCUCCUCUUUUUUGUAUUUUCACUUCUAUUCAGAAUCCACCCUAGUCAUUGCACUGUGUGGCAAAUGUAAAUAUGCCAGUAUAUUCUCCACCGGUGCUGACCAGAGUUCAGAGAGGAAAGGGAGGGGGAAAAGUGAAAAGACUGACAAAGGGAUCUGAAGCCCAACUCCUCCAUCUGAUCUGGCAGAGUCAGGUCAAUUUUAUGCUGAUUUUAUGGGUGAGAGGAUGGGAACCACUGCCAGGGAGAGGAAGAGGAACACAAGGGACAGAGAGGGAAAGAUAACAGAAAGAAGAGAUACGGACAGAGACAGAGAGAAUGAUGGGUAGCUGACAAUAACAUCUUUAAAUGUAUGGCAGUGUAUAUUUCAAAUGCUGUGACUGCUUAUUUAUUUUAUCUUUUUCUAAAUCACUUGUAAGCUUCAAUAAAAUGUGAUUCAUCAAAACA
ensembl:lncRNA